GUACUUGUACCUGGUGGCGAGCGGCGGACGGGUGAUUAAUGCCUAGGAAUCUGCCUGGUAGUGGGGGAUAACGCUCGGAAACGGACGCUAAUACCGCAUACGUCCUACGGGAGAAAGCAGGGGACCUUCGGGCCUUGCGCUAUCAGAUGAGCCUAGGUCGGAUUAGCUAGUUGGUGAGGUAAUGGCUCACCAAGGCGACGAUCCGUAACUGGUCUGAGAGGAUGAUCACUCACACUGGAACUGAGACACGGUCCAGACUCCUACGGGAGGCAGCAGUGGGGAAUAUUGGACAAUGGGCGAAAGCCUGAUCCAGCCAUGCCGCGUGUGUGAAGAAGGUCUUCGGAUUGUAAAGCACUUUAAGUUGGGAGGAAGGGCAGUUACCUAAUACGUGAUUGUUUUGACGUUACCGACAGAAUAAGCACCGGCUAACUCUGUGCCAGCAGCCGCGGUAAUACAGAGGGUGCAAGCGUUAAUCGGAAUUACUGGGCGUAAAGCGCGCGUAGGUGGUUUGUUAAGUUGAAUGUGAAAUCCCCGGGCUCAACCUGGGAACUGCAUCCAAAACUGGCAAGCUAGAGUAUGGUAGA
rnacentral:rRNA from 1 species